UCCUAAACAGCUAGCCUACCAACGCAACUAAUACUUAUUUAUAUACACCUCCCAAUGUACUGAAAUAAACAAACCAAACCAUUUUACCCCCUUAGUAUGAGCGACAGAAAUGAAAUCACCAGAGCAAUAGAAAAAGUACCGCAAGGGAACGCUGAAAGAGAAAUGAAAUAACCAUCCAAAGUUACAAAAAGCAGAGCUUAUCCCUCGUACCUUUUGCAUCAUGAUUUAGCUAGUAAUAGUCAAGCAAAAAGCAUUUUAGUUUGACCCCCCGAAACCAAGUGAGCUACUCCAAGACAACCUAAAUCUAGGGUAAACCCGUCUCUGUGGCAAAAGAGUGGGAAGAGCUUUGAGUAGGGGUGACAGACCUACCGAACUUGGUUAUAGCUGGUUGCUUGAAAAAUGAAUAGGAGUUCCGCUUCUUAAAUUCUUACCCCCCUCGAUUUUAUCCCCUAAUAACAGACAGCAGAAUAUCAAGAAAAUUAAGAAAGUUAAUCAAAGGGGGUACAGCCCCUUUGAAACAAGGUACAACUUUUUUAGGAGGGUACAGAUCAUAUUUUACUUAAGGA
rnacentral:rRNA from 1 species